CCGGAACUCUUGCGAUGGGUUUCGACACUUUCCAGUCGGUAGUAAAAGUUUAAUGCCCGGGACUCCCGGAAGUUGUUGCACAGUCGUUUCCGGGGUGGUGGAAGGAGUAGCAGGACUCUAAAUGGGUCGCAGUCGCAGUCGCUCCCCACGGAGGGAACGUAGGCGGUCCCGGUCCACAUCCCGGGAGAGAGACCGCAGGCGCCGAGAGAGGUCUCGGUCCCGCGAGAGAGAUCGGAGAAGGAGCCGCUCGCGAUCUCCACACCGAAGACGCUCCAGAUCUCCAAGACGACAUAGAUCCACAUCUCCCUCCCCUUCUCGACUGAAAGAAAGAAGAGAUGAGGAAAAGAAAGAAACAAAAGAAACAAAGAGUAAAGAACGUCAGAUUACUGAGGAAGACUUAGAGGGUAAAACAGAAGAAGAAAUAGAAAUGAUGAAGUUAAUGGGAUUUGCUGCCUUUGACUCCACAAAAGGAAAGAAGGUGGAUGGCUCUGUAAAUGCCUAUGCCAUAAAUGUGUCUCAGAAGAGGAAGUACAGGCAGUACAUGAAUCGAAAAGGCGGAUUCAACAGACCUUUGGAUUUCAUUGCAUGAAAAUUGAAAUGUUGAAGAAUGAUAUUUUUCCCUCUUAUCUUGGUCAGAGAAAGGAUUUUGUAUUUUGUUCUUUAGUAUGCAUCAAAACAGGAUCUCAUUCUCCUUAUAAAGUAAGAAAAUCUUAUUUAUGAUGCACAUGGUUCACUUACUUUGCCUCAAAAGAAGAAAGGUUAAAUAUCACAUUUUUUUCUUUUAGGAAAUGUUUGUGGCAAUCAUCAGCCCCAUUUUGUUUGUCCUUAUUCCUGUGGAAGCUGUAUGUGUUUUCUUCUUGGAUGCUCAUUAGGACUUUUAAAAAAACAUGAAAGUAAUUUGGAUGCUGCUGCCUCACAGAGGACAUAAAUUGUGCCCUAUCUUCUGUUUGCAAGUGUCUAAUGUUAGAGCGCUCCAGAGUUGGGUCAGCGCUUGGACUCUUCAGUCUCUGCCUUGGUGAGUCAUCCAUUCAAGUAGUGUCAAACACCUUUUGCCCUGGCUCUCAAAUGUAUACUUUCAGCCUGACCAUUUUGUUUAAUCAUAGUGUGGUAUGUACAACUAGAUUAUUAGGCUUCUCAAAUUUAAGAUUAACUAAUGCUUAUUUCCCUGCUCAGUCUUCUCUGAGGCCUCCCCUUCUAAAUACAUGGCCCUUUCAUUCACUCUGUUACUCAGAGCAAAAUCUUUGGGGUCAUUCUUGACUCCUGUCUUUCUCUUCCGUGCCUCAUAUCAUCAUAUAGAAGAUGUUUUUGACUCUAACCUGAGAGUGUGUUUUCAAUUUGUCUACUUUGGAUUUUUUUUUUUCUUUUUUCAUUGUUUUAAAUUCAGUCUAAUGAAUCUGACCACUUUUCACCACCUACACUAGUCUAAGCCAUUUCUCUUGUUUGGGCUACUGCAGCCUCCUAAUUUGUCCCCUUCCUGUUCUUGCUGCUUUUUUAUUCUUCACCCAGCAGCAGAGAUUAACCUUUUAAAAUGUACAUCAGGUCACAUUGCUCCUGGAUCCUGUGGUUUUUCUGUCAUUGAGAAUAAAAUCCAGGGGCGGCGCCUGUGGGUCAGUGGGUAGGGCACCGGCUUCAUGUACAGAGGGUGGUGGGUUUGAACCCGGCCCCGGCCAGCUAAAACAGCAGUGGCAACUGCAACAAAAAUAGCUGGGCAUUAUGGUGGGCGCCUGUAAGUCCCAGCUACUCGGGAGGCUGAGACAAGAGAAUCGCUUAAGCCCAAGAGUUGGAAGUUGCUAUGAGCAGUGACAUCACAAAACUCUACUGAGGGUGACAGAGUAAGACUCUGUCUCAAAAAAAAAAAGGUAGAAUAAAAUCCAGUCCUCAGUGAGGUCUAUAGGCCUUUUCAUGAUCUAGACCCUGGCUUCCCAUAGCCUCACCCUCUCAGCUACUGCACUAACAGCUAGCCUCCUUGCUGUUCUUUGAAAACAGGCUUGUGUCUAUCCUGAGAAUGUUCUUAUUUGUUCUUUCUUCCUUCUGGAAUGUUCUUACUCCUUCCCCAUCUCCCAGAUUUGCAUGGUUAACUUCUUUACAUUGCUUAGGUCUCUGAUCAAACUAAGGUCAUUCCUGACUACCCUAUACAAAAUAGCAAACUUUCUUCCCUCUCUAUCCCUGUGCUGUGCUUUACUCUCUCUUUUUUAAAAAACACUAAAAAAAUUAAGAUAAAAUUUAUAUACCAUAAAAUUUACCCUUCCAAAGUUUACAGUUUGUGGGUUUUGGUUAUUAUGCAUCUGUCAUCACUAUCUAAUUCUAGAAUGUUUUCAUCACCCCAAAAAGAAACCCAGUAUCCACUAAUAAUCAUUCCUCAUCCCUCCAACCUCUGGAAACCACUCAUGUACCCUCUAUCUCUACAGACGUGCCUAUUCAUUUCAUAGAAGUGGAGUCAUACAAUAUGGGCCCUUUCGUGCCUGGCUUUUUCACUUAGCAUAGUAUUUUCAAGGUUCAUUUGUUUUUGUAGCAUGUAUCAGUGCAUUUUUUUAACGUAGCCAAAUAUUCUAUAGGUAUACCACAUUUUGUUGAUAUAGUCAUAUCACAUUCAUAAGUUGAUGAGCAUUUAGGUUGUUUUCACUUUGUGACUAUUAAUAAUACUGCAUGAACACUAGCAUACAAGUUUUUGUAUAAACAUGUUUUCAGUUCUUUGAGAAUAUAGUUAGGAGUCGAAUCACUGGGUCACAUUGGUAACUCCCUGUUUUACUUUUUGAGGCACACUGUCAAACUGUUUUCCAAAGCAGCUGCACUAUUUUACAUUCCAACCGACAACAUAUGAGAAUUUUGGUUUUUCUCCCCAAACCUUUCUUUACUUCUCCUCAAAGCACUUGUCACUCACUGACUCUACGUUCACUUAUUAUUGUCUGGUUCUUCCAUUAAAUGGCAAGCUCUGAGAAACCGGGCUUUUGUCUUGUUUGCUGCUGUACAACCAGCACCACACAGUGCCUGGCACAUGGUAAAACACUGAGUAAAUAUCUGUUGAAUUCUAGAGCAUACUUCUCUAAUCUUUAUUCAUGUAACCACUUCCUUUUAAUUUUCAUUUUAGCCUUCAGUUACCAACAAAGAAAUGGACAAUUUUACUUGCAAAAAUUUUAAAAUACCACAAAGCUAAAUUCCCUUUGAACAGUACCACAAUCCUUUUGCCCUUCUUCACUGCUAAUCUUUUGUAAUGUAUCCUUUGUCUAUGCAUAUUUGCAUGUAACAGAGUUGGAAAUGAGGAAAAUACAUAGUAUAGGCCUUUUUUAAAAUAAAAAUAUUAUGAUGUAGGGCGGCGCCUGUGGCUCAAGGAGUAGGGCGCCAGUCCCAUAUGCCGAAGGUGGCAGGUUCAAACCUAGCCCUGGCCAAAAA